rnacentral:sRNA from 1 species
GAGGAAACUUCAAGAGGAGACCCAGCUUAGAGAGGAACUAGUCCAACAGCAGAUCAAAAUGCGUGAAAAACAGUCAAAACAGGCUCGUCCUUUAACAAGAUACCUGCCUGUUAGAGGUAAAGAAUUUGACCUUAAAAAUCACAUAGAGUCUGCAGGUCAUCACCUUGACGACUGUCCUCAUCUGGUGGUCACAUCCACAAAUUGUAGAGGGUGGCUCCAAAAAAUGGGCAACAAAUUCAAAACAUGGCACAGACGUUGGUUUGUGUUUCGAUAGAAACAAGCGAUCUCUGAUUUACUACACAGACAAGAAUGAAAGCAAACCCAGAGGAGGCAUUUAUUUCCAGGCGAUAGAGGAAGUGUAUGUUGACCAUUUACGGACAGUUAAAAGUCCCAAUCCAAAGUUAACUUUCUGUGUGAAAACUUGUGAUAGAACUUAUUACAUGGUGGCCCCCACCCCAGAGGCCAUGAGGAUCUGGAUUGAUGUGAUAUUCACUGGAGCAGAAGGGUACCAGCAGUUUUUAUGAUGACAAUUGCUUAAGAUUAGUACUGGUACUUGACUGUGGUAGAAGGAAUGGCUGAACAUGCACGUAAUUUCAAGGAAUGGGGAUUACAUUGUACCUUCCAUUCAAAGGGCAUUGGGGAUCAGUUUGACAAGAUUUCAUAGCAUGUAUUGAACGGUUUGUUACAGGAUAUGAUAUGAUGUGGGGUGGAACAGUAGACGUGUACAUUGUAGACUGAGAAGUUGAGAUGGAAGUCAGAAGUAGUGUGUGUUGUUGUUGUGAUUGGGGUUACC